GACGAACGCUGGCGGCGUGCUUAACACAUGCAAGUCGAACGGAAAGGCCCUGCUUUUGUGGGGUGCUCGAGUGGCGAACGGGUGAGUAACACGUGAGUAACCUGCCCUUGACUUUGGGAUAACUUCAGGAAACUGGGGCUAAUCCCGGAUAGGAGCUCCUGCUGCAUGGUGGGGGUUGGAAAGUUUCGGCGGUUGGGGAUGGACUCGCGGCUUAUCAGCUUGUUGGUGGGGUAGUGGCUUACCAAGGCUUUGACGGGUAGCCGGCCUGAGAGGGUGACCGGCCACAUUGGGACUGAGAUACGGCCCAGACUCCUACGGGAGGCAGCAGUGGGGAAUAUUGCACAAUGGGCGGAAGCCGGAUGCAGCAACGCCGCGUGCGGGAUGACGGCCUUCGGGUUGUAAGCCGCUUUCGCCUGUGACGAAGCGUGAGUGACGGUAAUGGGUAAAGAAGCACCGGCUAACUACGUG
rnacentral:rRNA from 1 species